AUGGCCAGAGCAUGGAGGGAGAAUUAUCAGGGUAUAUCUCAACUUUCAAGGUACAUAUUUGUGGCACACUUUCAGUCCUUGCAAUCUGCUAUGUUCGUGUUCACUAGGCAGCCCUGGAGUAUGGGAUCUGAUAAUUUUUUGAUUGAGUUCAAGGAUCCUCAAGAUCACAGUAAGGAUAUUCAGGAUUAUAAGUUUGACACCGUUUUCAUUACUGUUCGUAUUUAUGGUGUCCCUGCUUGUUUCCGUUCUCAAGAACUGCUACUAAAGAUUCUGAACACUUUGGGCCAACUUUCAGAAUUUCAUCCUUUUGUUCAAGCCAUGCUUUCAGCAAAACCUGAUUACAUGUGGGGUACUAUUAAGAUGUCUGUCGCCAAUCCUGUUAGAGAUAAGAUAUAG
rnacentral:rRNA from 1 species